GUGCCCGCCUAUCCGGUUUCUCCACCCCAAAGGCCCAAACCCUCGCCGGCGGGCUGCGGCGGCCAGCGACCAUGUCGCGAUUGAAGGAGAAUACCUUCCAUCUCCGCUCCUGCUCGCGCGGCGCUCCCAAUCCCUCCCCACUCCUCCCCUGCAAGCGCCCGCUGCAAUCGCCAUCCCCAUGCCUGCCGCCGCGCCGGCCGCUUGCAGAUGUCACCGGCAACGCGCUGGAGCAGCGGGGCGGCGGGGAGCCGGGCGGGUGCGGUUACGCCACUCCCCUCCAGAAGGCGCCCAGGCCGUGCGAGUUCCUUCUGGGAGACGACGACGACAUGGACGAGGCAUUCUUACGGGAGGUGGACGCCAUCUGUGAGGAGCACGCACGGUCCACGGCCAGGAAGGAGAAGGAUAAGAAGCUGGCGGUGGAGAACAACGGGAUGAAAGAAGGGCCGCCUGCAGCGGUGGCGGCGAUGAUUGACGACGCUGGACCAGAGAUAGCAAUGUUUGAAGAUUCGUUUUGGAAUAUCAAUGCCAUUAGCGAAGAGCACUAUACCAAAUCUCAUGCCAAGUGUCAGGAGGGUAUCGCGGAGUUGGACAAAAAAGAUGGCUUGAUAGCAUUGUCUGGUGAUGCUUCAGUUUCCCCAGUAAUUUCCAUUGCAAAGGGGCCCGAAGAGCUUGUUGAUGCAUUCUAUGGGGUGGUUGAUGCCACCAUUCAUGAGGGGCAUGCUGAUAGUUCUGCUGCCAACGGCAAUAAGGAGAUGAAAUAUAUGGAACUAGAAAUGGAGGAAGAUGAAGGGUGUGCUCCAAAGAAGUACUAUGAAUAUUUGCACUCCCUGAACGAUAAGCAGAGGGAGGCUGCAUGUAGUGAUGUGUCUGUUCCACUAAUGAUUGUUGCUGGUCCAGGAAGUGGAAAGACUUCCACAAUGGUUGGCAGGGUGCUCACACUCCUCAAAGAGGGAAUUCCACCAUCAAACAUUCUUGCUAUGACAUUCACCACAGCUGCUGCCUCAGAAAUGAGGGAUCGGAUAGGGACAGUUGUGGGGAAGGCAGUUGCCAGGGAGAUUGCAAUAAGCACAUUUCACUCAUUCUGCUUGCAGCUUUGCAGGACACAUGCGGAAAAGCUGGGCCGCACAUCUGAAUUCAUAAUAUAUGGACAUGGACAACAACGAAGGGCAGUUAUUGAAGCGGAGCGUUUAUUGGAAAAUGACAAAAGAGGUGGUGCUGAUGAUACAACUAAACAAUAUGAUGGGGUCAUAAAAAGUUCUUUCAAAGACAAAGCUAAGAAGUGGCAGAAGUUCAUUGCACAGGCAAAAGCUUCAGGAAGAACUCCAGAGGAGUAUGAAAAGAAGGGUGACUUGACAGGAGCUUCUGUUCUUAGGCAUUACAAUGAAAUAUUAAGAUCCUGUAAUGCUCUAGAUUACCAUGAUUUUAUAAACUCAUCCAUAACUCUUCUCACGAACUUUCCUGAAGUAUACAAAGAGUGCCAGGAUAUAUGGCAGGCAAUCGUAGUUGAUGAGUUUCAGGAUACCAGUGCUAUGCAAUACUGUCUUCUGAAGAUUCUAGCUUCCCACAAUCAUAUAACUAUUGUUGGUGAUGAGGAUCAGUCCAUCUUCAGUUUCAAUGGUGCUGAUGUAUCUGGCUUCGAUUCAUUUCGCAGAGAUUUCCCAAAUCACAAAGAGAUCAGAUUGAGCAAGAACUACCGCUCCACACGGGCAAUUGUUGAAGCAGCAACCGCUUUAAUUCACAACAACACGAAACGUCAUCAUCAUAAGCUUGUUGAGACUGAUAACCCUUCUGGUUGUAAGAUUACUGUCAAGGAGUGCCAUAGUGAAGAUUCUCAAUGUGCAUUUGUUAUUGACAAAAUCAUCGAAACUACGUCUAGUUCAGCUGAAGGCUGCAACUUUGGCAACAUUGCUGUCCUGUACCGAAGACAGAUAACUGGAAAAGCGUUCCAAGUGGCCUUUCGCAACCGGAAAAUUCCCUUUAACGUCCAUGGUGUGGCUUUCUACAGAAAAAAGGUGAUCAAAGCUAUCAUGGCAAUACUUCGGACCACAUUACCUGGCUGUGAUGAUGGCCCAUGGCGUCAAGCUUUCAAGGCCCUUUUACCUAGUGACAAAGAAGAAAAGAAGAAGAUGAUAGAUCAUGUUGAAAAGAUUUCACUGGCUAGAAAGUGUAGUUUUGUAUCUGCUGCUACUGACAUCUUCAGUGCAAAGGUCUCUGGUACCUUUAAAAGGGCCCAGAUUACUCAAGGACGUAAGGUUUUAUCGACCUUGGAUAGCCUAUCAAAACUUGUUGAGAGGGAACAAUCAGUUUCAGUCAUCAUUUCCUCUGCAGGAGACAUGCUACCUCAGAAAUAUCUCCUCGAAAAGCGUGCAGUUGUUGAUGUUGACAAUGGCAAAUUGUUAAAUGAAGAUAGUGAUAUUAGAUCAGUUCUUCAGUUUCUAAUGGAUGAUGUGUCUGACUUCCUGUCAACACAUUUUUCUAGCUCAAUGGAGGGAAGCAAGAGCGAGGAGAAAUGCUGCACUUCUACACUUCAAGCUUUCAUUGAUUAUAUAUCUUUGAGGGAAAUUGAAAAUUUUCGAUCCCGGAAGGAGGAAAAUAAGAAUUCCAUCACAUUAACAACUAUUCAUCAGUCAAAAGGUUUGGAGUGGGAUGUUGUGUUCAUUGUGCAGGCAAACGAUUCAGAAAUUCCUUUGUUGCAUGAAUACAAUGGCACCGUGAAAGAAGCUAGAAGCACACUAGAGGAGGAGAGGAGGUUAUUCUAUGUUGCAAUGACACGAGCUCGGAAAAAGUUAUACAUCUUGCAUGUUACAGUUGACUCUAAUCGUCAGGCAGCUUCUGCAACCUUCACGUUUUCUCAGGGAAAUUCCUGUUCACCUUCUAGAGGUCCAUGUGAGCAAUACUUUGGGAUCUAGUUCUACUACAUAUAAUCCUUUCCUAUUUGAGCAACAUAUUUUCUUAUUUUAUUGAUGGCCAAGGGCGAGGAGAGUCUCAGAAAAAUUCCAGAGCAGCCUUCGGUGGAUGUUUCUUUUGAUGGUCCUGAAGGGGAUACAUCAAUUGGAAAGCCUAUUACGGAACAGAAUGAAACUACACCUUGCCUGGAACUGGCUCAGGCAUGUGCUAAUGAUUUCUUGAGAAGGUUUGACAUUGACGAUAGAUCAGUUGUCUCACAUAUAUUUCAUCAUUGGGGCAAGAAGCAGGCAUUUCAAAAUCCAAAGAGAUUGCUUGAUAAGAUCAAUUUUGUGAUUGAUGAACGCCUACAAGGUAAAGGAUACAAACGCAAGGAUGUCUUGCGAAAGCUGAAGUCAUUCCUAAGUUGCGAUGAAGCAUUUGGUUAUGCACAAUAUGUUAUCAAGUGGGAACAGAUUCCUAUUGAGAAGCGGAGCCAUUUAACAAGAGAAAGACAGGAACAUUUCCAAAAGCAGAGGAUAGAGAAUUCCAUGGGUUCAUCAGAACCCACAGCCAAGCAGAUAUCCUACCUCAGGAACCUUGGAUGCACCAUCACUCCGACCUCUCGAUUACAUGCAUCUCAUCUCAUCGAAAAGUACAAAUCUCUCUGACUUAAUGCUGCAGAGCAGAUGUACCCAACCGCUCCAAUUCGUGCAGAUUUUGGGAUCAUGGGGUUGAGUCGUGUUCAAAGUUCGAACUGUAUAGCUGUAUACCUUAUGUGCGUGCUGUACAUAUUAUGAGUGUAGUAUGUAUGAACUCUGUUGUGGACUGGACACAUCAAGGUUGUAUGACAUAGCUCCGUUCAGAAUUCUGUUUUUAACCAUAUAAUUAUAUUUGGUUCUUUCUU